UAUUCAACCCGCUGGAACAGGAGCGAUUCAGCAUGGUGUCCCUGCUGGUCAACUCUCCCCGCGUGCGUGUCCUUUCGGAGGAGGGUCAGCCCCUGGCCGUGCAGAUCGGCGCACACUGGAGCUCUGCCACCGAGGCGGUCCCUGACGUCUACCAGGUGUCUGUGCCUGUCCGCCUGCCAGCCCUGGGCCUGGGCGUGCUGCAGCUGCAGCUGGGCCUGGAUGGGCACCGCACGCUGCCCUCCUCUGUGCGCAUCUACCUGCAUGGCCGGCAGCUGUCCGUCAGCAGGCACGAAGCGUUCCCUCUCCGUGUCAUUGACUCUGGCACCAGUGACUUCGCCCUCAGCAACCGCUACAUGCAGGUCUGGUUCUCAGGCCUUACUGGGCUCCUCAAGGUAAAAGGCCAGGGUGGUGGGGAAGGGCCAGGGGCCAGAGUAGGGCGUGUGUGGUGGUGGCACUGUGCAGAGUGGCCUCCCGGCCCUGUGCGCAUUCUGCCACCUGACCCACAGUGGACCCAGGCCCAUCUCAGCUCCAGCCUGACAGCAUGGGGAAGCAGGGCACAGCUCCUUGGGGAAGCUAUACCGUGUCCUCCCAGGAGGCAGGCCUGACAUGCUGGUGUGGGGCCAGGGGUCAGGGCUGUGUUUUUUGGCAGAGCAUCCGAAGGGUGGAUGAGGAGCAGGAGCAGCAGGUGGACAUGCAGGUCCUUGUCUAUGGCACCCGUACGUCCAAAGACAAGAGUGGAGCCUACCUCUUCCUGCCCGAUGGCGAGGCCAAGCCCUACGUCCCCAAGGAGCCCCCCGUGCUGCGUGUCACUGAAGGCCCUUUCUUCUCAGAGGUGGUUGUGUACUA
rnacentral:sRNA from 1 species